rnacentral:rRNA from 1 species
UAUGUGAUCGUCUCUCGCAUAUCAAUAAGCGGAGGAAAAGAAACUAACAAGGAUUCCCCUAGUAACGGCGAGUGAAGCGGGAAGAGCUCAAAUUUGAAAUCUUAAAGGGUUUCCCUUUACGAAUUGUAGUUUAAAGAAGUGUUUUCUGUUGAGGUUUUGGUAAAAGUUCUUUGGAAUAGGACAUCAUAGAGGGUGAGAAUCCCGUAUUUGACCUUUACUUUCAACUUUGUGAUACACUUUCAAAGAGUCGGAUUGUUUGGGAAUGCAGUCCAAAAUGGGUGGUAAAUUUCAUCUAAAGCUAAAUAUUGGCGAGAGACCGAUAGCGAACAAGUACCGUGAGGGAAAGAUGAAAGGAACUUUGAAAAGAGAGUUAAACAGUACGUGAAAUUGUCAAAAGGGAAGCGUUUGACACCAGUGUUGUUUUUCUGAAAAUCAAUUAAAGAACUGUUUAUGCUAAGCUGUUUAGACUUUAUCAGCUAUCUGUUUAGUUUUGAGCUUUUCUUUAAUGCACUUUUCAGUUAACAAGUCAACAUCAAUUUCUUUUGCUGUAAAAAAGCUUGAGGAAGGUGGCUUGAGAUUCGUCUUAAGUGUUUAUAGCCUCUUGCCUAUGCAGUCGGAGAGAUUGAGGUCUGCAGCGUAGAUCCUUCGGGGCUAAAUGCAUUUGUGCUAAGUUAUAGCAUUUUAUAGACAACUUGUUGACUAUGAUUUGUCUUGUAGCUUACUCGCUUAUGUUAUUUUACCUACGCUUAGGAUGUUGAGUAGCGACAUACGCAC